rnacentral:rRNA from 1 species
AUUGAACGCUGGCGGCAGGCCUAACACAUGCAAGUCGAGCGGAUGAGAAGAGCUUGCUCUUCGAUUCAGCGGCGGACGGGUGAGUAAUGCCUAGGAAUCUGCCUGGUAGUGGGGGACAACGUUUCGAAAGGAACGCUAAUACCGCAUACGUCCUACGGGAGAAAGCAGGGGACCUUCGGGCCCUGCGCUAUCAGAUGAGCCUAGGUCGGAUUAGCUAGUUGGUGAGGUAAUGGCUCACCAAGGCGACGAUCCGUAACUGGUCUGAGAGGAUGAUCAGUCACACUGGAACUGAGACACGGUCCAGACUCCUACGGGAGGCAGCGGUGGGGAAUAUUGGACAAUGGGCGAAAGCCUGAUCCAGCCAUGCCGCGUGUGUGAAGAAGGUCUUCGGAUUGUAAAGCACUUUAAGUUGGGAGGAAGGGCAGUAAGUUAAUACCUUGCUGUUUUGACGUUACCGACAGAAUAAGCACCGGCUAACUCUGUGCCAGCAGCCGCCGUAAGAC